AUGCUUAUCUGGCAGAGGAGCUACUAUGAUCACAACGUGGUUUUCCCAGGAUGAAGCUUAUCCAUUGCACUCUGGAUUGCUGACCCCUUCAAUUUCCCCAAGGAAGGGAAGCUUGACUGCAUAAUUUAUUGCAAGAGGAUACUGUGUUCCAUACUCCCCAG